GGAUGGGUGGCCGAGCGGUUUAAGGCACUGGUCUUGAAAACCAGCGAAGUUGCAAGACUUCCGUGGGUUCGAAUCCCACCCCAUCCGCCA
rnacentral:tRNA from 1 species